rnacentral:rRNA from 1 species
UACGGAGGGGGUUAGCGUUGUUCGGAAUUACUGGGCGUAAAGCGCACGUAGGCGGACUGGAAAGUUGGGGGUGAAAUCCCGGGGCUCAACCCCGGAACUGCCUCCAAAACUUCCAAUCUAGAGAUCGAGAGAGGUAAGUGGAAUUCCUAGUGUAGAGGUGAAAUUCGUAGAUAUUAGGAGGAACACCAGUGGCGAAGGCGGCUUACUGGCUCGAUACUGACGCUGAGGUGCGAAAGCGUGGGGAGCAAACAGG